CCUCCUUUCUAAGAGUAACCAGGCUGGAGUUAACACUCUAGCCCGAGACUUAAGUUAAAGAAAUGUUAUUUGGGCUGGUCUUAUCUAGUUUAAAAGUAGGACAUAUUAGAGCUUGCGGGCAAGAUUUAGUUGGUUGUUGAUUAGAGUAUGGUAAGACAAGGUUUCAUGGCCGGGUUAAUUCUUGGGCCUGUAGCUCAGCUGGUUAGAGCGCACGCCUGAUAAGCGUGAGGUCGGUAGUUCGAAUCUACCCAGGCCCACCAUUAAUUGGUACUCUAUACCAGUUUUUUCAUGAUGUUUUAGUUUGAAAUUGAAAACAAGGCUCUUUCAACGGGAAUUUUCUGGGGCUGUAGCUCAGAUGGGAGAGCACCUGCUUUGCAAGCAGGGGGUCACGAGUUCGAUCCUCGUCAGCUCCACCAUUGUUCGUUACCAAACCUUAAAACAUUAAUAGUUUUCA
rnacentral:misc_RNA from 1 species